GCGUAUGGAUACGCGGAGGGACAUUACAGAGUCGUAAAAAACUCCCAAACCCAUGUGAACUAUACCUAUGUUGCCUCGGCAGGGUCUGCAGGAGCACCUUUGGUGUUACCCCGUAUCUUUACCAAGUUACCCUGUAACCACCCGGGGUUACCCUGUAGCUUUACCAAGUUACCCUGUAACCACCCGGGGUUACCCUGUAGCGCCUGCCGGCGGACCAUUCAACUCUUGUUAUACCGAAAUCUGAGCGUCUUAUCAAAUAAGUCAAAACUUUCAACAACGGAUCUCUUGGUUCUGGCAUCGAUGAAGAACGCAGCGAAAUGCGAUAAGUAAUGUGAAUUGCAGAAUUCAGUGAAUCAUCGAAUCUUUGAACGCACAUUGCGCCCAUUAGUAUUCUAUUGGGCAUGCCUGUUCGAGCGUCAUUUCACCACCUAGGCACUGCUUAGUGUUGGGAUUCCACCCCCUCGGUGGUUCCUCAAAUCCAACGGCGGAGUCGCAGUUAUCUCUGAGCGCAGUAAUUUUUAUCACGCUUUGGAAGGUGCUGCGGUCCCUGCCGUUAAACCCCCCAUUUUUUAAAAGGUUGACCUCGGAUCAGGUAGGAAUACCCGCUGAACUUAAGCAUAUCAAAACGGGGGAGAGAAAA
rnacentral:rRNA from 1 species